rnacentral:rRNA from 1 species
CUGGCGGCGUCUUAACACAUGCAAGUCGAACGAGGAUCAUCGGUGUAGCAAUACANUGGCGGUCCUAGUGGCGCACGGGUGAGUAACACGUGGGUGACCUGCCCUAGAGCUCGGGAUACCCCCUCGAAAGGGGGGCUAAUACCGGAUACGUUCCCCGGUCGAAAGACUGGGGAGGAAAGGUGGCGCAAGCUGCCGCUCUUGGAGGGGCUCGCGGCCUAUCAGCUAGUUGGCGGGGUAACGGCCCACCAAGGCUAUGACGGGUAGCUGGUCUGAGAGGACGACCAGCCACACGGGGACUGAGACACGGCCCCGACUCCUACGGGAGGCAGCAGUGGGGAAUUUUCCGCAAUGGGCGAAAGCCUGACGGAGUGACGCCGCGUGGGGGACGAAGGCCUUCGGGUCGUAAACCCCUGUCAGUGGGAAAGAUGGGUGUCGGGGCUAAUACCUCCGGCAUCUGACGGUACCUGCAGAGGAAGCCCCGGCCAACUCUGUGCCAGCAGCCGCGGUAAGACAGAGGGGGCAAGCGUUGCUCGGAAUUACUGGGCGUAAAGGGCGCGUAGGCGGGAUGGCAAGUCGGUCGUGAAA